UAUUUGUUACAGGCCUAUUCAUUCACAUUUUCCAUUUUCCCUGGUCAGGGUGGUGGUUCGCAUCUUCCCAGGAGCUUGUCCAUCUCACCUGGGUCACCUAACUUGUCGGCACAGUUGUCCCGGUUCUCUGGCCUCACCCUUCCUGUACUGGAGAGUUCCCUUUAUGCUUCAUUGCCGUGGCUGUGGUCCUGGAAGCUUCCCCCUUGUGAUGGGUGUCCUCAGGUUUGAGAGGCGUGGCUGUCUGUGGAGAAGAUCCACGAGAUGUGCAGGGAGCAGUUUGCGUGGGCUCCUGACUCGGCAAGCGAAGACCUUGAAUUCUGAGUGCACGUCUCUGCCUCAUUGCAACUUACUUUGUGUUUUUUUCACUAUUAAAGCAAUAUUGGGGAUUUUGUGCAAUGAACUGCUUGUGCAAGCAUUUGUUGCCGUUAUACAGAAGGUCGCCGACGGCCGUGGCCCGUCCUUUGAAGCGUGUCCCCUCCACCAGCUGGUCUCUGGCUCAAGAGGCCUCUCCUCUACUUCCAGACCUGAUGAAAAUCAGAUGUUGAUUAGGCUUUGUGUCUGCUUUGGCAGUUGGUUGAGACUUUGGGAGCCAUAAAAGGGACCUCUGCAUCUCCUCCCAGGAGACGGAGACUGUCCGCGCAUCCUGGGCUGGUCUUUGGCGUCCUGGUGAGGACCCCCUGUCUACUGGAGCCUUCUUACUCCUCUUUCUCAGUUACUCCCUUGUUUUGGGGAUCUCCUCUUUGUGUCUCCUGAAGAACAUUUCCACAAGAAGUCAUGAGACAUUUUUGGUGAACUUGCAUGUCUGGAAAUACCGUUCUACUACUACCAUCACGCCUGAUGAUUUGAAUACGCGUCAACUUUUAGGCUGCAAAUUAUUUUCUCGUGUAACUGUUAGAGCUUCGUUCCACUGUCUUCUAUGUGUGACACGGCUGUGAAGAAGUCUCCUCACCCCUGUGUGGUCCGCCACGCGGGCGCUUGCUGGGCCUCCCUGCGGCCAGGGGCACCGCACAGCGUCGUGCAGGCUGUCACUGUGGGGAGCUACAGGCGCUUCCACUGCGGUGACGCGGGUCUGUCAGGCCUGGGGAGCAUCAGAUGGGGUCUCUGGCCAUCCCACUCCCACCAUGUUCUGGUUUUUCCCAGAACUCCUGCUGGUCCUAAUCUGUCUACCGCCUCACCUGCCUCUUCGCCUUUUCCUUUUUUAAAAAAAAGAUUUCCUCGGGGCACCUGGGUGGCUCAGUCGUUAAGCA